CCGGCGGGGAAACGCGCUUUUAAUGCGAACGGGAACGCACGCCGCCAGUCCGACGGACGACGCUUCAAACCGACACUCACAAACUGCAAAGCUCAAUGAGGAGAAAGGUCGUUUGAACAACCAAGCUGCACACACCUCAGAUUAAAAUAAAGAGAUACUCAAGGGCUUCAUCCACAUAAGGUAGCCUUCCUUUUUGUUUUGUCCAUACUUUCAGAAAAUUUUGAUGAUCAUAAUCAUCCCAGCCUCCUUGCCACCCUCCUGUUCGCUGAAGAAAUCUUUCAAACUCUACUACUUCUUCAGAUUCCUGGAAAAGCAGACAGACUGGGGAAGGAGUAUCCGAAGUCUGCAGGAGAAUCACAAACCCAACUACACAAGAAAUCUGUCUACAGACAAAACAGUUUUUAAAUCUGUCAUCACAACUUACAUUCUGGUGUAGGCUUCACAUCUUUUAAUUGCUGCUGAAGUCUCUUCACGUUAUUUUGUAUUUUUGAUAGCUGCUGCAGGAUUUUAGCUUCUGUUAAACAAAAUAAGGUGCUGAUAGUUCCAACAGUUUCCUUGUGCAUUAAAUUCAAUACAAUAACAAGAGCAAUAAAGUGUCUGAAAUAAACUGUAGAUUUCGUCUAA